UAAGCGGAGGAAAAGAAACUAACAAGGAUUCCCCUAGUAACUGCGAGUGAAGCGGGAAAAGCUCAAAUUUAAAAUCUGGUGGUCUUUGGCCAUCCGAGUUGUAAUCUAGAGAAGCGUCUUCCGCGCUGGACCGUGCACAAGUCUCCUGGAACGGAGCGUCGUAGAGGGUGAGAAUCCCGUCUUUGGCAUGGACACACCAGGGCUUUUGUGAUGCGCUCUCGAAGAGUCGAGUUGUUUGGGAAUGCAGCUCAAAAUGGGUGGUGAACUCCAUCUAAAGCUAAAUAUUGGCGAGAGACCGAUAGCGAACAAGUACCGUGAGGGAAAGAUGAAAAGCACUUUGGAAAGAGAGUGAAACAGUACGUGAAAUUGUUGAAAGGGAAACGCUUGAAGUCAGUCGCGUCGACCGAGACUCAGCCUCGCCUCGGCUUGGUGUACUUCUCGGCCCGACGGGUCAGCAUCAAUUCCGCCUCUUGGAUAAUGGCGAGGGAAACGUGACACCUUUACGGUGCGUUAUAGUCUCUCGUCGCAUGCAAGGGUCGGGAUUGAGGAACUCAGCACGCGCCUUUGGGCGUCGGGGCUUUGCCUACGAUACGUGCUUAGGAUGUUGGCGUAAUGGCUUUAAACGACC
rnacentral:rRNA from 1 species